GGUAAGGGUUAAUGUGUUAGUAAUCACCUAACCUAUACCUUGAAUCCACACCCCUUAAAAUUCUAACUCAUCGAACCAUAACCCAUAACAUCCUGAUAUAACCACUAACCCAUUAAUCCCUAACUCCCUAAAAACCUAGCACUUUAUUAUUUCGAUAAAGGGUUGCAUUGGUUGUCCUUGAAUAGCCUCAUUGGUGAACUGCAAAACCAACUCUUUCUUUUAGAGUGAAAAAUAUAUAAGUCAAGGUAUCUCGUUGUCACCACUCUACAUCAUAAUGGUGGAUUUCUUAAGUAGAUGAUUAGAUCAAGAGCAGAUAGUUGAAAACUUACAGGGAAUUUCAAGGGGAAUCUGAUUGUUUAAUUAAAACUAGUACAAACAAGGGGAAUCUGACUAUUUAAUUAAAAUAAAUCAUUGUGAUGGUCCCUGUGGAUACUGACGCAAUGUGAUUUAUGCCCAUUUAUCUACAUGUCAAAGUGAAGAAAUUCAAUCAAGUGUGGGUAAACGACAGGAGUAACUAUGACUCUCUUAAGGUAGCUAGAUGCCUCGUCAUCUAAUUAGUGAUGUGCACGAAUGGAUUAAUGAGAUUCCCACUAUACCUAGCUACUAUAUAGAGAAACCACAUCCAAGGGAAUGGGCUUGGAAAAAUUAGCAUGGAAAGAAGACCCAGUUGAGCUUGACUCUAGUCCUAACCCAAUCAUAGUUUGGGAAAAUUAGGGCAUAGU
rfam:Picea glauca, whole genome shotgun sequence.